rnacentral:ncRNA from 26 species
CAUAUGCCAAGCAAAUAAGGUGCCUUUCUCAUCAGAGAACAGGCUUAAAAGGGAAGUACGGUGAAAAUCCGUCACGGUACCCGCCACUGUGAUGGGGAGCUUUGUUGCAUGAUGUCACUGAAGGAAACUUCGGGAAGGCGCAGCAAAGCGAUGAUCCUAAGUCAGGAGACCUGCCUUAUUUGUUCGGACGGAU